rnacentral:rRNA from 1 species
AAACAUGUCUUUUUGAAUUAUUUUUAAAGUCUGACCUGCCCACUGAAUUAGUUUAAAUGGCCGCAGUAUUUUAACUGUGCAAAGGUAGCAUAAUCAUUAGUCUUUUAAUUGAAGGCUGGAAUGAAGGGUUGGACGAAGUAUAAACUGUUUCAUGUAAAUUUUAUAUAGAAUUUUAUAUUUUAGUUAAAAAGCUAAAAUAAUAUUAAAAGACGAGAAGACCCUAUAAAUCUUUAUAAUUAAUGUUAUAUAAAUUUUAUAGAUAAUUUUUAUUUUUAUACAGUUAAUUAUUUUAUUGGGGUGAUAUUAAAAUUUAAAUAACUUUUAAUUUUAAAAUCAUUAAUUUAUGAUUAAUUGAUCCAAUUUUAUUGAUUAUUAGAUUAAGUUACUUUAGGGAUAACAGCGUAAUUUUUUUGGCGAGUUCAUAUCUAUAAAAAAGUUUGCGACCUCGAUGUUGGAUUAAGAUAUAUUUUAGGUGUAGGUGCUUAAAUGUAAAGUCUGUUCGACUUUUAAAUUCUUACAUGAUC